ensembl:lncRNA
CUCUAGUGGAUUCAUCCAUCGAUGACUUCAUAGCUGAAUGUACUGUUAGGAAAUGAGUCACUGGGAUGGAACUUGGAAGGCAGUAUUCUUGCUCCCUCUCCUUCCUGCUCUCUCUGCUUCCUGGCUUCCAUGGGUUGAAUGGCUUUCCUCUGCCAUGUCCCUUUGUCAUCCUAUUUCUGCCUUGGAGCCAGCCAACCAUGGACUGCAACCAUGAGCCAAAAGAAAUCUCUCAUUUAAACUUACAGGAAAAAAGAAAAAAGAAAAAAAGAAAGGAAAAGAAAGGAAAAAUUAUUUCAGGAGCAGGAAACUUAUACAAGUCAGAAACUCAGACCUCCAUGAAGAAAAGUAGAGCGUCAGAGGAGGAAUAAGUGAAGAACUGUGUUCCAGGAGGCGAGAGGCCAGCUCCACCCACGACUCAGAUACCUGCACAAAGACUUCUCCCAAAAACAGCACUGAGUUCUGUGCAUCCUCCCACUGCAUUGCUCAGAAUAAUAAAAGGAUGGAGUAGAGUUUGGUGUCACUGUCUUGAUUAAUAUUAAGACUCUAGUAGCA